GGAUUAGAUACCCUGGUAGUCCACGCUGUAAACGAUGGUCACUCGAUAUACACUUUUCCAAAGUGUGUGUCCAAGCAAAAGCAUUAAGUGACCCACCUGGGGAGUACGCUCGCAAGAGUGAAACUUAAAGGAAUUGACGGGGAUCCGCACAAGCGGUGGAGCAUGUGGUUUAAUUCGAGACUACGCGAGGAACCUUACCUAGAUUCAAUGUAUACUGACAUACUAAGAAAUUAGUAUUUCCGCAAGGACAGUAUACAAGGUGUUGCAUGGCCGUCGUCAGCUCGUGCUG
rnacentral:rRNA from 1 species